GAAAACCGAGGGGGAGCAUCCUUGCUGCCCUUCUCCACUGUUUCUCCAUUGCCAGCCGUGAGACGAUGGCCUCCUCAUUCGUUGAUGAGCAGCAGUCGUUUCCUCCUAUUUUGAGUUCCUCAAUCUACUCUCGAUACCAUCUCUAUUUCAUCUAAUUUCGUCCCAUUCUAUAUAGCGGUUAAGCGGGAACGCCACCGUGCCCACGAACGCCCUGGAGCGCACACCGACGACCGCCAUGGGGUUCUCGUCGUCGUUCCGACUGAACCGAACCACCCCAAGCCGAACCCUUGCGCCACCAGGAUCGCCUCGACGUCCUCUUCAAGAUGCCUCAAGAACCACAAGAAUCGGUGAAUCGAGGAGGGAGAUCGGCGUCAUCUUCUCCAACUCCGGCUACCGGCGUCGGUCUUCGAUUCCUGCCGCUCCGGUGAGCCUCGCGUCGAUUCCUCACAUAUACACCAUUCUUGAGACCUCUCUAACCACCUGUACACCUUCUCUUAACUCCCCAAUCCCCAUCUACCGGACCAAGCUGUCACUGUGAAGCCGACAUCAUCCUCCGCCGCCGAGCCGUUCCGCGAGCCACCGCCGACGAUCAAGCUGCGCCGAUCCUUUCAGACUGCUUGGUUUUAGACUUAAUCUUUUGAGUGAUGCGGGUGAUAGUCUGCUUCUUCUAGGACUUUGAACUUAAUGAGGUAAACCUCUAGUCAGUGUGCUUGAGGAUUGGGUAGUCAAGCUUCCACUGUUCUAAUAUUUUUAUUCAGCCGGUCGGCCUAUGUAACUAUGAAGUAGUUGUAAUUUAGAUCCUUUUCAUCUUAAGUGUAUUUUGCUAUGUAUUUCCAUGUUUAAGAUGAAAGUGUGAAUCUAGUGCACAUCCUGGGAACUAGAUUCACAUGAGUAUGUGUUAAGAAUA